rnacentral:rRNA from 1 species
UACGUAGGGGGCAAGCGUUGUCCGGAAUCAUUGGGCGUAAAGCGCGUGUAGGCGGCUGGCUAAGUCCGCUCUGAAAGCCCGGGGCUCAACCCCGGGAGGCGGGUGGAUACUGGUCAGCUCGAGUCCGGAAGAGGAGUGUGGAAUUCCUGGUGUAGCGGUGAAAUGCGCAGAUAUCAGGAGGAACACCCGGUGGCGAAGGCGGUCUCUCG